AUAUCUGCUAUUAAAGCUAUAAUCUCUGCAGACUCAGAGCUACAACAAUUAAAAUAGAAUUUCUAUGCACCUAGCAUUAUAAUGGAUAAUAACAUUAUUUCCAAUUUAAUGUCGUUGCAUUAGGUGUCAUUUGCAGAUUCUACUAUUUUUAUGGUUUCAUCUGAGCUUGGAUGCAUCUCAGUAUAAUAAAGAUGGUACAUGAAUGAUGACACACAUUUGAGUGAUCUUUUGUUUUCAAUACAUUCUCAAAUUUUAUUU
rnacentral:lncRNA from 1 species